rnacentral:rRNA from 1 species
AACGAACGCUGGCGGCAGGCUUUACACAUGCAAGUCGAACGGGCAUAGCAAUAUGUCAGUGGCAGACGGGUGAGUAACACGUGGGAACCUUCCUAGAGGUACGGAACAACGCAGGGAAACUUGUGCUAAUACCGUAUACGCUCGAGCGAGGAAAGAUUUAUAGCCUUUAGACGGGCCCGCGUAGGAUUAGGUAGUUGGUGAGGUAAUGGCUCAACAAGCCUACAAUGCUUAGCUGGUCUGAGAGGAUGAUCAGCCACACUGGAACUGAGACACGGUCCAGACUCCUACGGGAGGCAGCAGUGGGGAAUCUUGGACAAUGGGCGCAAGCCUGAUCCAGCCAUGCCGCGUGAGUGAAGAAGGCCUUCGGGUUGUAAAGCUCUUUUACCAGGGACGAUAAUGACGGUACCUGGAGAAUAAGCCCCGGCUAACUUCGUGCCAGCAGCCGCAGUAA